rfam:Coriobacteriaceae bacterium BV3Ac1 contig00002, whole genome shotgun sequence.
GGCCCCGUAGCUCAGGGGAUAGAGCACAGGUUUCCUAAACCUGGUGUCGACGGUUCGAAUCCGCCCGGGGUCA